rnacentral:rRNA from 1 species
CAAGUCGCGUGCGCAGUUGCCGUAGCAAUACGGUGAUGGGCGCACGGCGCACGGGUGCGUAACACGUGGGCAAUCUGCCCUCCGAUGGGGAAUAACCCCGCGAAAGCGGGGCUAAUACCGCAUAACAUUCCUUGAGCGAUGGUUCGAGGAUUCAAAGCAGUAAUGCGUCGGAGGAGGAGCCCGCGCCCGAUUAGCUAGUUGGUGAGGUAACGGCUCACCAAGGCAAUGAUCGGUAGCUGGUCUGAGAGGAUGAUCAGCCACACUGGAACUGAGACACGGUCCAGACUCCUACGGGAGGCAGCAGUGGGGAAUCUUGCACAAUGGGCGAAAGCCUGAUGCAGCGACGCCGCGUGGGGGAUGAAGCUUUUCGGAGUGUAAACCCCUUUCGCCUGGGACGAAUGCCCGCAAGGGAGUGACGGUACCAGGAUAAGAAGCCCCGGCUAACUACGUGCCAGCAGCCGCGGUAAGACGUAGGGGGCCAGCGUUGUUCGGAAUUACUGGGUGUAAAGGGUUCGUAGGCGGUGUGGCAAGUCGGGAGUGAAAUCUCUGGGCUCAACCCAGAGGCUGCUUCCGAAGCUGCUGUGCUUGAGUGUGAGAGAGGCUCGUGGAAUUGCAGGUGUAGCGGUGAAAUGCGUAGAUAUCUGCAGGAACACCCGUGCGAAAGCGGCGAGCUGGAUCACUACUGACGCUGAGGAACGAAAGCUAGGGGAGCAAACAGGAUUAGAUACCCUGGUAGUCCUAGCCCUAAACGAUCAGGACUUGGGGUGCCGCCCGUUCGGGCGUCGUCCCGGAGCUAACGCGUUAAGUCCUGCACCUGGGGAGUACGGUCGCAAGACUGAAACUCAAAGG